rnacentral:rRNA from 1 species
GACGAACCGUGCGACCGUUGUUCGGAAUCACUGGGCGUAAAGGGUGCGUAGGCGGGUCUUUAAGUCAGGGGUGAAAUCCUGGAGCUCAACUCCAGAACUGCCUUUGAUACUGAGGAUCUUGAGUUCGGGAGAGGUGAGUGGAACUGCGAGUGUAGAGGUGAAAUUCGUAGAUAUUCGCAAGAACACCAGUGGCGAAGGCGGCCGACUGGUCCGGUUCUGACGCUGAGGCGCGAAAGCGUGGGGAGCAAACAGG